UUACAAAUGGAGCCUUCUGCCUCUAGGUCACUGAUUCCGCUACCAUCUGUCAGCACCGAUUGAUUGAGUAGACUGGCCCUGCUCUGCAGAUCAGUGACUUGUGCGAAGUGAGCCGGGGUGUUGGUGCCUUAGGCAGCAGGCUGAUGUCCUUCCUCUCACUCACUGGCUCUUGAGCAUGCAAACAGCCCUCACCUUGAUCCUUCACCAGCCCUGGAUCUCCUUCCCCUUGGGAGGGGCCAGCUGCUCACAACCCCAGCACACCAAGAGGGAAGCCUGGAAGCCCUGCUUCUCAGGCCUGAGCCCGGGGCUCCGCUUUCAGUCUUCCAGAAGAUGAGGAGACUGAGGCACGGAGCAGUGAGGAGGAAUCAGAGCUGGAAUCCGAACACAGGCUAGUGGGCUGCAGAGCCCCUGCAUCUUCGCUUUAUCAUGAGAUAACAAUAGGGAGGUUCCUUUCCAUUGGGAUUAUUUCUGCUUGAAAGCACAAGACUUUUAGCCACAUCAUUGUCUGGGCUCCACAGGAAGGCAGUGCCACAUGCUGAGGCAUGCUGGGAAAAGACUUUGUUCCAUCCUGUUUUGUUGACAUGCUCUUCAUUUUUAAGCCUGAAACCCAAGCUUCCUGCUAAGAUUUCAAAUCGUGGAGAAAAAACCCAACCAUGAUAAUGGCCACGACUUCCUAAGCCUCCAGUGUCCCCUGUGCUUGGGGCUCCAGAUAUGUCAUUUAACCUCAACCUUCACAAUGACAGGAGCAGCCCCCAGAACACAGCUGGAGAAACUGGAGGUCAGAGUUGCUAAGAUGCCUAAAGGCUGGCCCAGGAUGCAGGUGUGGUGUGGCCCUAGAUGCUGCCUUCUCUGACAGCGGGAGCUGAGAGACAGGGAUGCCCAUGCUCCCUCCUCUCUCGCUCCCUCCAGGGACUCAGGAUAGCCACCCUGCUGUGCUUAAAAAGGCACCUGUCUUCUGGAAGGAGCCCCACCACUGAGGAUCCUCAUCGAUGCCUGUCUCCCCGCCAGCUCCUGGGGAUAACCGCCAAAGCAGGUGUGCCCUGCCUCAAGACCAGCACAGCAGGAGUGGGGGCUCCUCCAACCCUCAGCCAGUCCUUGACUACAGCCUCUUUUCCCAGCCCAUCCAUCCCUGCAGCCGACUCAUUUCCACCCCAAACCAGCUUUGACCUUACUCUCCCUGGAUCAGUGGUUUUCAGUGGGUACCGAGUGACUCCAGAAUUCACGGAAUUCACGUUUGUUCCUGUCUUGGAAGGCAAAGCCCUCAUCUGGCUCAGCUCACCUUUCCCACCUUCACUCCUGCCUCUCAGACUGUCUCUGCCCAACUAAACAGACUGUUCCUGUCCCGAGCCUGCCUGUCCCCAGGGAGAAAUGUCCUUUCCUUUUCUUUACAGAUAAAAGCUACCCUCUUUCAAAUCUUACUCAAAUGCCACCUUCCCCAUGAAGCCCUGCCUGUGUACUCAUUCAUUUACUCAAUAAACCCUCACUGAGCCUUUA